rnacentral:tRNA from 1 species
GCCGCCUUAGCUCAGUUGGUAAGAGCGCCGCAUUUGUAUGCGGAGGUCAAGUGUUCGAAUCACUUAGGCGGCC